AGCCUGUAGAGAAAACAAUCCAACCAAUCAAAAGACGGCUCUCCCACAACUGUACAGUUUGUAAAUAAAUAUUCUAGUACAAGUAUAUACAUGUGACCAUUAAAGCACCGGUCCUAAAACACACAAGUCCAUUGGAGAAAAGCGGGCGCGCGCCACAUGCGCCGAGACCCGGCCUACACAAAUGCCAUCCUAACAAGAUGCAUGUCUUACACUCAAACGAAAAAUUAGAACGUGAAAAAUAUACAGAUACUCUAGCUCAUUCACACUUCCACCCCCAACUAAAGGCCCCCAAGACUGCAGUGGUGUAGAACCCAAGGAACCCAAAACGGCUCGUGACAGGUCGGUUUGUCGAGAAGAAAAACGCCGGCUACCGGGGCCACGGUCUAGCACCGUCCCCCACGUCCGGCACCGUUCGCUGCUGGGUGGCGACUGUCCAGAAACUACAGCAAAACACGACAAGGACUCCACGCGCGCGAAAAGAACAAAAGUAAAGAAGAAAGGAGGGGGGGGGAGAAAGUCAAAGGGAGAGGGGGGGGGGUUGCGGUCCGGUCCCGAAAAGAAGAAACGACAGCGCCGCGAGUCAGGGUACAAGGGCCGCGUGAACUGUCCCUUGGUCCCCCUCCUCCGCGCGCACACACCCACCGACAGGUCAAUACAGUACGGACACACAACACGGACUAUACAACACAAUCGCCGACACGCGACAGCCAAGAUCGGCUUGAUGUUUAUAUUGACAACCUGGAACUCCCUGUCAUGUUUGUUGUCCUGAGUGAUGCAAGUACGCGUGUUAUUUACCGAUGACGAAAAGUCGUUCACCACAGUAUGUUGUUAGAUGAGCCUUGGAGGCUUAUAUCGUGUUUUCUUCAGUCGACCAUAAAGAUGGUAUCGCAGUAUGUUGACCUGUGCGCCUGUGUCCAGAAUGAGGAUGAUGCCGCGCCCUCGCACCUUGACCACUGAAGUCCACUGAAGUCCACUCCGUGGAUGCAUUUGAUUGACAGCAACAAAGUCGUCGUCGCCUAAUUUUGUCGAUUCUUCAAUGGUCUGCACAGGUUUUGAUUUGCAUUCUGCAGCAAAAUAUUUUAUUUUCCGCAUCUCUUGAAGGUCUGUGGCUUUUGAUACUCGGCAAAUGUCGCCAGCCGUCUGGAGCGAGAGAUGAGCUUCUUGUAGUCGUCUUGCUCGUAGUUGGUCACUCUUGGUGCCUCUCACAACUCUGUCCUCGUCAGCCGAGUGUCGUUACUUACUGGACAGACGUGUGGACAGACGAGUCAACAUGGCACACACCUUUCCCCCCGACAGUGGGUGGGCACAGCUCUGUCUCCUGUCUGCCCAGCUCCCCGGGACCAAUGUCUCGUGUGAUGAGGAACCACAGUAACAUGGAAACAAUUGACAUUGGUAUUUGUUCUCUCAUGUGCAGGUUCUGUCCCGUGUCUGUGUGAAAAUCAAGACCUCGAGGUACAUCGAGAUUCUACCGCUAUGCUAAAUUGUGGUUGCCUAAGUAAAGAGAACAGCAUAGUCUGGAGUAUAAAUGGAGAGUUGGUCACACGGUGUCCACCAUUUUCAAACGAAGCAAAGCAAGAAAUGUGCACAACUUUAACUGAUGACUCCAAUAUUUCCGCGAAAAGAACAUCUGCAUCAUCAAGUGUGCUCACAGUCAGUUCUGUAUCUGACCUGAACAACGUGAGCUGUGCAGUCCCGGAAACUGAAGAACAAACAACUUGCAAAGUGGACCUGAUAUACCCCGCUAACGAGUCGUCCUGCCAUGUGAAGGUGGACACAGGUAGAGACACAGGUGGAGACACAGGUGGAGACACAGGUAGAGACACAGUGUCAGCUCAUUGCAACAUCACCAAGGCGUAUUCAGCUAAUGGACGAUACAGGUGUGACCUGUAUCAGGUCCUGCAGAAUGAAACGAAAACACAGCUUCUUAGUACAACCACAAUAAAGACAUUGUCGAGAGACAGCGAGGGCGACAUGAGAGGAGAAUGCUCUAUCACGGCACGAGUUCUGAGGGGAGGAGAGCUUAAGAUGCUAAUCACCCCAGGAGGGGUGGAAAUCAAUUUAAAUAGAAACGACGACCCCAAGGACAUUUCCACCACAUUUCCACAAGGACAUUUCCAUCCAGGGCACAUAGGUCUCCCCACAGACCUCCCUGACAAAGACAGUACGGUGCCUCUAGAGCUGACCACUGACCACGUGACGACCUCAGCUACCAACGAUGGUAAGCUUGUCUUGUUUGUCUUUAAAUAUUUUACUACUCGAGUCACUCCACGUGUUGCUACAGAAAACCGUAUUUCGUCUGAGAUGUGUGAUAACAGUUGUGUGUAGUUGACACUUGAUGUAUCGGUGGCUUAGCGUUCAGUUCUUCCUGCAACAGUUGUGUGUCUGACAAAUAUUUCUAGGUAAACACAUAACGGACGCCGUAGUCUCCACACAGUAAACAGUCAUCGCAGUAUUUUAAUGUAUGUGUGGAUUUCUGUAAUAUUGUUGGCACAAAUUCUCCACAUGCUGGUAGGUGGAAUUUCACAGGAUUUGUUGUUACAUGAAUCCAUCACUUUGUGACAGGCGGUGCUACCACGUGCACACCUGACGUCGCUACCACGUGCACACGUAACGUCGCUGGGUGGUUCGCGGGGGGAGUCUGUUUAGGACUCCUCAUUGCGACAGUGGCGAUCCUCUGCUGUAGAGGAAGGAAAAAGGAAUCGAAAAAGCCAGCAACCACACCCGUGUGUACUGCUCUAUCUUCUAUUACAACACAAGAGAGGUCAGAGGGGUCAGAUCCACCUGUACCUGCAGGUAUAGAACCAGUGAGGCUUGCUACACCUGGAAUACCUGGCAUUUACUGGCUCAGAUUCAGAGCCAACAAGGUUGUCCCCCAGCCACUGGAUGUGUGACUAUAGCUACUAUUGGUUUUUCACUUUCUUUCUUUGUUUGCAGGUAGUAAUUGUUUCGAACUUGUAUUUCUUGUACACAGUAUUUAUAUUUGCCUUGGUAAUAGCUUUCAAUCUUGUUGCUGCUUAACAAAUAAAAUGAAUUGUUUUCACAUUAUUGUACUGUGUUUUUAAGUUCAAUUAGUUCAUCACAAUUAUUGAAAUACACAUCACACUCAUCAAGUCAAACAUCAAUACAUGUUAAAGCCCUUAUAACUACCUCUCCAGCCAGCAAACCAACCCACGCACAGACAGACUUGCACCUUAUAACUUUAAUAAUAAUAAUAAUAAUAAUAAUAAUAAUAAUAACAACAAUAAUAAUAACAACAACUGGUGUAGCUCAGAAUCCCAUUCACACAGGAACAUGCACAUCACUAGAGGCACGAGUGAAUGUCUCGUACCUGAAGGAACAGAGAGAUGGACAACGAUGAAGAUGAGGUUCAAAAGACAGUGAAGACACAGAGAUGAGAGAAGCAACAAGAAGUAAUCAACAAAGAGAUGUCAACAGGAUAGACUAAUCAAAGAUAUAAAGUGGGAGAUAAAGAACUGGUUGUCGUAGACUGUACGAGCAGUAGUCAAAGACAUACAGAGUGUCUGAAUUCACACUUUAAAGAGUGCAUGGUAGGUAAAAGAGCAAAGGUCACUGUCAGUUUUGGUACCUCCGGCAGAAGAAAUGAUGAUGUUACAUGAUUUGUCCUUCAUUGUGAGGAAAGUCUUGCGGAAACAAACAGUAUUGGUCUUCAUCUUGCUGUGGAAAUGGGAGAAACACUGUGUGGAGAGGACCAGGCUCCUCCCUUUUGUAAAGUCUAACAGAAUGAUGGACUAAGGCGGUGGUUCUCAAAGUAUUUCGGACCGCGGACCAAUUUAUUUAAGUAAACAUAUGGCGGACCUACAAGGCCUAAAAAUCAUUCUGUACUAUGAAUUUCAAAUUUAAAU